rnacentral:rRNA from 1 species
GCGCGAAAACUCUACAAUGCACGAAAGUGUGAUAGGGGAAUCCUAAGUGCUUUACUUCAUGUAAGGCUUUUGCCAAAACUAAAUCUUUUGGCGAAUAAGUGGUGGGUAAGACGGGUGCCAGCAGCCGCGGUAACCCCCGCGCCACAAGUGGCAAUCGCAUUUAUUGGGCCUAAAGCGUCCGUAGUCGGUCAUGUAAAUCUCUUGUGAAAUUGUUGCGCUCAACGUAACAGUGUGCAGGAGACACUGCUUGACUAGGAACCGGGAGGGGUUAGGAGUAUUCUGAGGGGAGCGGUAAAAUGUUAUAAUCCUCAGAAGACUACCUGUGGUGAAGACGCCUGACCAGAACGGAUUCGACGAUGAGGGACGAAAGCUAGGGGAGCAAAACGG